UUGGAGGGCAAGUCUGGUGCCAGCAGCCGCGGUAAUUCCAGCUCCAAUAGCGUAUAUUAAAGUUGUUGCAGUUAAAAAGCUCGUAGUUGAAUUUCGGGACUAAUAUGUCGGUCGUACUUUGUACGUACUAGCAUUAUUGGUUUCUCCCUUCUGACGAACCACGAUGUCAUUAAUUUGGUGUCGCGGGAAAUCAGGACUGUUACUUUGAAAAAAUUAGAGUGUUUAAAGCAAGCUCGCGCUUGAAUACAUUAGCAUGGAAUAAUGAAAUAGGACGUUUGAUUCUAUUUUGUUGGUUUCUAGGAUCGACGUAAUGAUUAAUAGGGAUAGUUGGGGGCAUUAGUAUUCAAUUGUCAGAGGUGAAAUUCUUGGAUUUAUUGAAGACUAACUACUGCGAAAGCAUUUGCCAAGGAUGUUUUCAUUAAUCAAGAACGAAAGUUAGGGGAUCGAAGACGAUCAGAUACCGUCGUAGUCUUAACCAUAAACUAUGCCGACUAGGGAUCGGAUGAUGUUAAUUUUUUAAUGACUCAUUCGGCGCCUUACGGGAAAC
rnacentral:rRNA from 1 species